GCAGAAGAUAAUUGUCUCAAGAAGAUAAGAGCCUCUUGGGGAAGAAGGCCAUCAAACUGGCCAUCGGCUCCCUCAGCAUUUCCAUUGAGCAGAUUAAAAUGUGGAGGCAUAAGAAGGAACACCAACAUGGACAGAUAUUCUCCAGAAACUAUACAAUCCACGAAAGCUCCAGAUGCCCAGGUUCUACACAGGGCCUCUGCCAGGGAGUGAGGUGGAUCCAGAUGAGAAGAUAUUUCCUGGAAAUGUUUUAGUAUCUUGGAAUGAAGACCUGGUCUGAUUGCAUACCUGGAAGAGAGAGAUAACUAUUACUGACUGUUCUUUGGGAAUGCCUUUCUAAAGCUGAGGAUAGCUCCAGGC